rnacentral:tRNA from 1 species
GCCUCGAUCGCGCAGUAGGCAGCGCGUGAGUCUCAUAAUCUCAAGGUCGUGAGUUCGAUCCUCACUCGGGGCA